GACGAACGCUGGCGGCGUGCUUAACACAUGCAAGUCGAACGGAAAGGCCCUGCUUUUGUGGGGUGCUCGAGUGGCGAACGGGUGAGUAACACGUGAGUAACCUGCCCUUGACUUUGGGAUAACUUCAGGAAACUGGGGCUAAUACCGGAUAGGAGCUCCUGCUGCAUGGUGGGGGUUGGAAAGUUUCGGCGGUUGGGGAUGGACUCGCGGCUUAUCAGCUUGUUGGUGGGGUAGUGGCUUACCAAGGCUUUGACGGGUAGCCGGCCUGGGAGGGUGACCGGCCACGUGGGGCAGGGGAUGCGCCCCAGCCCCCUAGGGGGGGCAGGAGGGGGGAAUAUGGAAAAAGGGGGGAAAGCCUGAGGCAGAAACCCCGGGGGGGGGAUGACGGCUUUGGGGUUGUAACCCGUUUUCGCCUGGGACGAAGCGGGGGUGGCGUUAAUGGGUAAAGAAGCACCGGCUAACUACGU
rnacentral:rRNA from 1 species